rnacentral:rRNA from 1 species
AUUGAACGCUGGCGGCAGGCCUAACACAUGCAAGUCGAACGGUAACAGGAAGAAGCUUGCUUAUUUGCUGACGAGUGGCGGACGGGUGAGUAAUGUCUGGGAAACUGCCUGAUGGAGGGGGAUAACUACUGGAAACGGUAGCUAAUACCGCAUAAUGUCGCAAGACCAAAGAGGGGGACCUUCGGGCCUCUUGCCAUCGGAUGUGCCCAGAUGGGAUUAGCUAGUAGGUGGGGUAACGGCUCACCUAGGCGACGAUCCCUAGCUGGUCUGAGAGGAUGACGAGCCACACUGGAACUGAGACACGGUCCAGACUCCUACGGGAGGCAGCAGUGGGGAAUAUUGCACAAUGGGCGCAAGCCUGAUGCAGCUAUGCCGCGUGUAUGAAGAAGGCCUUCGGGUUGUAAAGUACUUUCAGCGGUGAGGAAGGGAGUAAAGUUAAUACCUUUGCUCAUUGACGUUACCCGCAGAAGAAGCACCGGCUAACUCCGUG